rnacentral:lncRNA from 1 species
UGAGAACGAAGAAGCAUAUUACUCUCAUAUUCAAAAUCUAGUUUAUUGUUUAAAAUAUAAAUAAAAUAACUUGACCCUAACAGCAUAUUCAUUUAACGAGGAAUAAUGUGUGUUUUUCUAUUAACCAACACAAUUUAAGAUUCCAAAUUAGAUACUAUGAGAUAGUAUAUAACCGGUGUUCAAAAGAAAAAAAAAAACAAAACUAGUAGUGAACCUUACCAUGGUUUUAGAUAAAAAAAAAUUAAAACAUAUACCUAAACAGUAAUAAAAGCUUCAUCAACCAAACCAAAAUAAAAUAACAUAUAAACCAAUACUACAUGGUUCUUCAGUUUUCGUC